CUAAAGGCUUUGAAGGGAAGAAGUAGUUCAGUUUCAUGUCUUUCAGAGAGCAUCCGUUGGUGGGAGGAUGCAGACACACUGAUACGAAUACAUCCUGGAGCCUCAGCCUGAGCAUAUAGUAGGGUUUGACGGGAACGCCCGAUAAAGCGUAAGAGUGUGAUUGCACUCGUUGAGGGAUAUUCUGUGAAGAAUUUCUAAAUCAGAGGUGGUACCGCAUGUUUGCCCUCUGC
rnacentral:ncRNA from 1 species